rnacentral:rRNA from 1 species
UCAAGCUACAAAGAGCGCAAGGGGAAUGCCUUGGCACUGGGAGCCGACGAAGGACGUAGCGAUCUACGAUAAGCCACGGUGAGCCGAAAGCAGGCAUCGACCCGUGGAUUUCCGAAUGGGGCAACCUGGCUGAAUAGAACUCAGUCAACAUACGGUGAAUAAAAUAGUCGUAUGUAGGGAACCGCCUGAACUGAAACAUCUAAGUAGGGCGAGGAAAAGAAAUCAACCGAGAUUCCGCAAGUAGUGGCGAGCGAACGCGGAAGAGGCCAAACCGAGAGUAGUAAUACUUUCGGGGUUCGGACAGCGGACGGUAUGCUGAAGGUUAGCAGAAGGACAUGGGACGGUCCACCAAAGAGAGUGAAAGUCUCGUAUGCGAAAACUGAAAGCAGCCAGCUGAAUCCAGAGUACCGCCGGACACGUGAAACCCGGUGGGAAUAUGGGGGGACCAUCCUCCAAGCCUAAAUACUACCCAGUGACCGAUAGCGUAUAGUACUGUGAAGGAAAGGUGAAAAGAACCCCGGGAGGGGAGUGAAAAGAACCUGAAACCUUGUGCUUACAAGCACACAAAGCACGUCAACGUGUGAUGUGGUACCUUUUGUAGAAUGGUCCGGCGAGUGAAUGUAACUGGCGAGGUUAAGUUCUUAAGGAACGGAGCCGAAGCGAAAGCAAGUCUGAAUAGGGCGUCUUAGUCAGUUGUAUUCGACCCGAAACCGGGUGACCUAUCCAUGUCCAGGAUGAAGUUAAGGUAAAACUUGAUGGAGGUCCGAACCCACGGUCGUUGAAAUGCCCGGGGAUGAGAUGUGGAUAGCGGAGAAAUUCCAAUCGAACCCGGAUAUAGCUGGUUCUCUCCGAAAUAGCUUUAGGGCUAGCCUCGACUGAACAUUACCGGAGGUAGAGCACUGAAUGGGCUAGGGGCCGAGAGGUUACUGAACCCUAUCAAACUUCAAAUGCCGGAAAAUGAUAGUCGGGAGUCAGACUGCGUGAGAUAAGUUUCGUAGUCGAAAGGGAAACAGCCCAGACCCACAGCUAAGGUCCCAAAGUACGGUUAAGUGGAAAAGGAUGUGGAGUUGCACAGACAACCAGGAUGUUGGCUUAGAAGCAGCCACUCAUUAAAAGAGUGCGUAAUAGCUCACUGGUCGAGUGACUCUGCGCCGAAAAUUUAACGGGGCUAAAUCGUACACCGAAGCUUGGGAUGUAUCUAUGAUACAUGGUAGGAGAGCGUUGAAUGCGGGGUGAAGUCAGAGCGAAAGCGCUGGUGGACUGCAUUGAAGUGAGAAUGCCGGAAUGAGUAGCGAGAUUUAUGUGAGAAUCAUAAAGGCCGAAAGACUAAGGUUUCAGAAGGAAGGUUCGUCCGCUUCUGGUUAGCCGGGAGCUAAGGUGAGGCCGAAAGGCGUAGCCGAUGCACAUACGGUGGAGAUUCCGUAGCCGUCGAAAUAUUUAAGCAAAGGGACACUUAUGAAGGACAUGACCCGGGCGAUGGUAGCCCCGGGCGUAAGGGACUGAAAACAAGUAAGGAAGCAUGUUUGGAUUAAGGCGAGAAAAGCUUUGUGUAUAUAUGAGACGUCCGUACCGCAAACCGACACAGGUAGUCAGGAAGAGGAUUCUAAGGCCAACGGGAGAAGGGUAGUUAAGGAACUCGGCAAAUUGACCCCGUAACUUCGGGAUAAGGGGCGGUGCGUAAGCACCCGCAGUGAAUAGGUCCAGGCGACUGUUUAUCAAAAACACAGCUCUCUGCUAAAUCGAAAGAUGACGUAUAGGGGGUGACACCUGCCCGGUGCUGGAAGGUUAAGAGGAGGAGUGCAAGCUCCGAAUUGAAGCCCCAGUAAACGGCGGCCGUAACUAUAACGGUCCUAAGGUAGCGAAAUUCCUUGUCGGGU